UCUUACUUCUCUGUGUUCCUUAUUGUGCUUCUUUUCUAUGUGUGAUAUAGGUUGUUAUAAUAGAUUCAUAUUUAUACGUCGUAGUUGAAUCAGAAAGACGAUUGAGAAUGAUACAAGAAGAAGGGUGACGAAUCAUACUGGGGUGUUAUUUAAGAAACUUAUAUGGGGGUUUGAACUGUUUCUCCAUGAGGGUGAUAUGAUACCUGCUCUUGCCUCCGCGGAACCUAAAUUGCACCCUGCAAAGGAUGAACACCGGGAUAUUUUCAAGUAUUAUACCGAGGGGUUAAUCCAUUACGUUACAACCAUCAGUGCUAUUGGAGGAGC